GAUUUCUGCUUUUGCAUGCCUAGCCCGUGUGGGUUUCCACAUGUGUGCUUUAGCCUGCUUAGCAUCCUUUCCGAACAGGUCAUCGCUAUUCAUUUAGUGUGUGGCUCAGUCGGAAUCUAUUACUUAGAAGAAAUUAGAGUGUUCAAGGCAAGCGUUUGCUGUGAAUAUUGUAGCUUGGAAUAAUAACUUAGGACAUUCGUUCUAUUUUGUUGGUUUCACGUACGAAUGUAAUGAUUGAUAGGGAUAGUUGGGGGUGCUAGUAUAUCCUGGCCAGAGGUGAAAUUCUUGGAUUCAGGAUCGACUAACUUAUGCGAAAGCAUU
rnacentral:rRNA from 1 species